CUUUCGGAGGAGUUAACGAGAGCGAUGCUAGGAGCCACACUGUGAACAUACCCGUACGUUGCCUCGGCGGGGGAGGGGGGGCCUACCCCCCCGCCUCCGCCGGCGGCCCACCAAACUCUGUUUAGCUCUGAAUCUCUGAAGCGAUAAACUAAAUCAGUUAAAACUUUCAACAACGGAUCUCUUGGUUCUGGCAUCGAUGAAGAACGCAGCGAAAUGCGAUACGUAGUGUGAAUUGCAGAAUUUAGUGAAUCAUCGAAUCUUUGAACGCACAUUGCGCCCACCAGUAUUCUGGUGGGCAUGCCUGUUCGAGCGUCAUUUCAACCCCUUAAGCCCUUGUCGCUUAGUGUUGGGAGCCUACGGCGUCCUGCCGUAGCUCCUCAAAUCCAGUGGCGGAGCCGGUUUCGCGCUCUGGGCGUAGUAGAUUUUCUCCAUCUCGCCUACAGCCGGGCCCGGCCUUCCCUGCCGUAAAAAACCCCCCUCCAAUACAGAAGGUUGACCUCGAAUCAGGUAGGAAUACCCGCUGAACUUAAGCAUAUCAAUAAGCGGAGGA
rnacentral:rRNA from 1 species